rnacentral:misc_RNA from 1 species
GGAGUCUCAAACUUGGCUAGCAUCAGAAGUAGUGAUAUGUCUAGUAGUUGGAACCAAGUGAUAAGGAGGUAUGUUUUUCAUCCAAACAAACUGGUACAAGAUAUGAAGACGGGCGUCCAGUUGUCUGACCUUACUGCUGUGUUAAACGGAAACAUUGAACCAUUUAUCGGUGCUCACAUCAACAGUAGAAGACAUUAAAUCCCAUGAUACACAUAGCUUUCUACUCUCAU